rnacentral:tRNA from 1 species
AAAUAAAAAACAAAUUAAGUUAUCUUCUCAGUGUAAGCGAGAUAUAAUAAUUUAUACUAUUUUAUU